AUUGAACGCUGGCGGCAUGCCUUACACAUGCAAGUCGAACGGCAGCACGGGUGCUUGCACCUGGUGGCGAGUGGCGAACGGGUGAGUAAUACAUCGGAGCGUACCUUAUCGUGGGCGAUAACGCAGCGAAAGCUGUGCUAAUACCGCAUACGCCCUGAGGGGGAAAGCGGGGGAUCGCAAGGCCUCGCGCGAUUAGAGCGGCCGAUGGCUGAUUAGCUUUGUGGUGGGGUAAAAGCCCACCAAGGCGACGAUCAGUAGCUGGUCUGAGAGGACGAUCAGCCACACUGGGACUGAGACACGGCCCAGACUCCUACGGGAGGCAGCAGUGGGGAAUUUUGGAAAAUGGGGGCAACCCUGAUCCAGCAAUGCCGCGUGAGUGAAGAAGGCCUUCGGGCUGUAAAGCUCUUUUGUCAGGGAAGAAACACCGGCUCUAACACAGUCCGGGAAUGACGGUACCUGAAGAAUAAGCACCGGCUAACUACGUGCCAGCAGCCGCCGUAA
rnacentral:rRNA from 1 species